rnacentral:rRNA from 1 species
UCCUACGGGAGGCAGCAGUGGGGAAUAUUGGACAAUGGACCACAAGUCUGAUCCAGCAAUUCUGUGUGCACGAUGACGUUUUUCAGAAUGUAAAGUGCUUUCAGUCGGGAAGAAGUCAGUGACGGUACCGACAGAAGAAGCGACGGCUAAAUACGUGCCAGCAGCCGCGGUAAUACGUAUGUCGCAAGCGUUAUCCGGAUUUAUUGGGCGUAAAGCGCGUCUAGGCGGCAAGGAAAGUCUGAUGUGAAAAUGCGGAGCUCAACUCCGUAUGGCGUUGGAAACUGCCUUACUAGAGUACUGGAGAGGUAGGCGGAACUACAAGUGUAGAGGUGAAAUUCGUAGAUAUUUGUAGGAAUGCCGAUGGGGAAGCCAGCCUACUGGACAGAUACUGACGCUAAAGCGCGAAAGCGUGGGUAGCAAACAGGAUUAGAUACCCUGGUAGUCC